AUUGAACGCUGGCGGCAUGCUUUACACAUGCAAGUCGAACGGUAACAGGCCGCAAGGUGCUGACGAGUGGCGCACGGGUGCGUAAUGCAUCGGAACGUGCCCAGUCGUGGGGGAUAACUACUCGAAAGAGUAGCUAAUACCGCAUACGAUCUAUGGAUGAAAGCGGGGGACCGUAAGGCCUCGCGCGAUUGGAGCGGCCGAUGUCAGAUUAGGUAGUUGGUGGGGUAAAGGCUCACCAAGCCAACGAUCUGUAGCUGGUCUGAGAGGACGACCAGCCACACUGGAACUGAGACACGGCCCAGACUCCUACGGGAGGCAGCAGUGGGGAAUUUUGGACAAUGGGCGCAAGCCUGAUCCAGCAAUGCCGCGUGCAGGAAGAAGGCCUUCGGGUUGUAAACUGCUUUUGUACGGAACGAAACGGCUCUGGUUAAUACCCGGGGCUAAUGACGGUACCGUAAGAAUAAGCACCGGCUAACUACGUG
rnacentral:rRNA from 1 species